CCUUUGCUAAUGCACGAUGAGUAUAAAGUGUCGUUACCAGAUCACGACUUUAUAAUUACUGCAAGACAUAAAUUGAUCCCGAGUGUCUAUGCUUUAUGUGAAGUAAAACCGAAUGAGAUGGGGCGGCCAGAAGCCGUCUCAUAUAGUGGACCAACAUAUAUAGCAAUCCGAAGUGGUAAGCACUCGUCUUCGACUGCAACUAGUCAAGCUGAAGACUUGGACACUCUCUUAACUCUUCAGCCUUUUGGAAAAUUAAUGAAAAACGAAGACGAUAGCCUGUCCUUAUUAUUUCGAACGAUGGCGGUCCCGAUGAGUACCCGCGAUAACGGAAAGUAAUUGCACAUUCUAUACAGCAUUUCAAAAAAAAUAUGAAAUAUCUUGACUCCACGGUAAAACAAUUAAUGAUGAUUUAAAAAAGCAGAAGUUUUAACUGAAAUAUGGUACGCAAUGUGCAUUGAUAGACACAAAGUUAUUGCUAAUUUCAUCGACCCAAACGACGACAUUUUUAAUGUUCCAGAUUUUCCAGCUGAAGAAUGGUACACCGAGCAUUUUAGAGAGAGUCAAUAUUUACUUCAGGUUGUAAAAUGCGAUGAUCAGCAGUGCUGCAAUCCGCGUCGGAGUACUUUACAUGAUCUUUUUUUAUUACCUCCAUAUCCCAUUGAAGUUAAUGGACAUCCGGCGUCAGACCUCAACAUUCUCAACAAUCAUCAAUUAAUUAACCCAAUCAGUUGGAUACUCAACUUUAGAAAUUAUACUUUUUUGUUCAAGAUCAUCUAACGUUGACUUUAGUUUUUCAUUAAAGGCUAAUAGUACCUUCCUUUGUGUUUAUAUAACUGGUAUUGCAUCUUCUUUUAAUCUAAUUUCCACAUAAUCUGAAAUCCAUCCGAAGCCCUCAAAAAUGUUUUUAAAAUUUUUAUUUACUCCAUUUCUUGUUUUUGGCAGUAUUAUCAAUUAACAUCUUGGUUUGAACUAUACUCACUCUAGAUAUCAUGUUAAAAUGUAAACAAUCUCCUAACUCCAGUGAAGGCCCUGACUCUAAAUUCAACAUUUUUAAAUUGACUUUUAUAAAAACACUCAAGUGUUAUGUGACCUAGAGGUUUUGAUUUAAAAUUUCAAUAGGAAAUUAUUGUCAUGGAUGUUGAAAUAAUUUUAGAUUUAUCAACAUUUAGAUCAUUAAAAUAUUUCAAAGGUACAACGCUAGAUUCAGCUCCUGUUUCAAGCUUAAACAUAAUGUCAAUUGUCAAUAUUGUUAACAGUAAUAGGUUCAUACCAGCUAUUGUUUUUAAUAUUUGGCUUAUGCUCAUUAAUAAAAAUAGAAUUCUCUAUACCUGCAUUGUCCCUACUUAUAAUAUCUGAAUUCUGAGUUUACAUUGCCCAAAACCUGUACUUCUGAUGUUAGUUUCUUAACCUCAGCUUCAUCUUGUUCAUUUGACCAAUAUUCUUCCUGCCUCCUGUUUUCUGGCUAUUUGGAAUUAGAAUAAUUACCUCGUUCUUACCACUUGUUUUGGUGCUGUUUGUCCUUGAAAAAACAAACCUUAGCAAAAUGGCCUUUACCUUGACAAAUUGCACAAGUUUGAUUAUAAGAGGGGCAUUGUCUAGGUUGAUGACUGAAAACACAUCUUCCACAUCAGCUUCUUGUGUAUUUUCUGUACCACUUUUUAAUAACUCAACAUGUUUCAUUGUAACUUCAAUACUCCUACAAUAUUGAAGCAUCUUGUCUAAUGACAUUGAUGGUUCUCUUAAUAAGUGUCUUUGAACCUAUUUAUCCAGAACACCCAGUGCUAUUCUGUCUUUUAUCAUCCUCUUUGCAUAGCUGCUUUUACACUGACCCUUUUCACAUACAAACAGUUUGCUGCUCGAGUCUAUAUUUUGACCUUCUUUUUGCUGUAUGCUGUUAAAUUUAAUUGUUUUCAUACUUACAUUUCUUUGGGUAAUAAAUGAUCAUCAAAACAAAAUAACACAUCAUCUAGUUUUGAAGUUUUGGUUGUUUCAAAUGUAUUAUAGAUAUACAAGAAUAUUCAACAGCUACUUUUAUAUUUUCCUCAGUAGUGCUUUUUCCUGAAGCUAACAAAAAUAUUUCAAAUAUUUGCUUCCAUUUGGACCAUCCAUGUGGCUCCUGUACGUUAAACGCUUCCGGGGACUUGAAGUAUUCCAUUUUUUACUACACUUUUGAUACAUCCGUACGAUUUUUUUAUUUUUAACUUCUCGUUUUUUAUUAUAUUUAUUGAAGGGAAAAUGGCUUCUGUCUAACUUUUAUUUUUUAUUCUUUUUAAGCUGUCGGCGAUUUUCGACUACGUUUUUGACACCAUGUUUCGUUGUUUAUUGUUCAAUUGCUUCUUUUAUUAAAAAUAUAUUUAUUUAC